UCCCAAGUGCUGGAUUAAAGACGUGUGCCACCAUCACCUGGCAUGACCUUAUGUGCACCAACAACAAAGAUUCUUCUAACAAGCCCAUAAAAGAAGUUUUGUCAACAGCCUUAAAUGUCAACAGCGAGCAGGUCUCUUGAGUCAAGCAAACACAUUUAAACAGUUUUUGAAAAGAUGCUGGAAAAAAACAUGAAUUGCUUUUGUACCGUGCAGAAGUCUGCAGCCCGCCAUGAAAAUAUGUCUAGAAGUACUUUUUUGAGCUAAAGGCAGACAUCUCUAACUGAAAUAAAAAAGAAUGAAAGAAAAAGAAAAUUCACUCCGGACGUUAUUGGAAAAGGAAUUUUCUUGCUGUAUUGGCUUCUCUGGGAGAAGAGAAGCCGCGAGACCGAGUCUAACCUUUCAAUUCAGUGCUGUGAAGUCAAGAUUAUGGAUGCUACUGAAAAAUAUUAAAACAUUUCCGGCCAAGUGGUCGAUAAGGAAGGAGCUGACGGAUAUGCCUUUUUAAUGUGCAAUUCUGGCAUUUUCUUUGAAAAUUCUAGAAAUAUGUGGAACACCUCAGAAGUCUUUCAAAGCUGUGUCCACCCCAUGGCUUCUAAGUUAAAAUCAUAGUUAGGUGAUUCACUUUUUCUUAAAGGGAUUCAAAGCCCUUAAAGAUAAUUGACUUAAUUGACGGUGAAUCCUCAAUCUUCAGAGAAAAGAAAGACUACUGGUCUGCAAAGAUCCUGGAGAAUUAUUGUAUUUCUGGAGAGAGGAUUAUUCUUGUUUUGAUAAAAAUAAGAAACCUAGAAGUUUUAAUUCUGCUUGUGCAAUGUUAUUUUUGUAUUUACCAAUGAAGUGUCCCCAUGUAUGGCUACUGAAGCAAAUUAAAAAUUAAAUGUUGGGGUUAGAGAGAUA